CACAUAAGCUACAGGAUAUACCAAAUUUUGGCCUGGUAUAGUGCUGGGAAACGAAUAUUCAUCUUCUGAAGGGAGAAAAGUGUGUUGGGAGACACUCAUGACAGUAUACAGCUGAGAACAAAUGGGCAAGCAGACUCAUCAAAGGUGCAAAGUGAAGAGAGAGAGAGAGAGAGACAGAGAGAGAGAGAGCCACCGAGAGACAGAGACACAGGGACACAGAGAGAUGGCUUCUGCUUCUUGCAAAAGUAAGCGUUGUGCACACAAUCAAGCCUUAAGGAAGAAAAGUUUGGUAUUGCACCUGUAUGACAUACAUACUACUGGCAAAAAUCCUGAAAACACCAUAGACAGAAUAAGCCUGCAACACUGCAGAGACUAUUGAAGAGGUGUAGUUAUUGUUUUUGUUUCCUGAAAAAUAAAUAUUUCAAACAAUAUUGUACUGAGAUACAUAACCAGUAAAUUAUGUAAAUAAUAUGUACAUAAGUCAAUGAUUAGUCAUGAAGGCAAUAACUGUAUAAAUACCUCCAGAUCAAGAAUUAAAGUCUUUGCAACAUUCAAGAAUCUCACUCUCUUCUUCCUGUGAUGACCUUGGCCUUUGGCUCACAGGCAAGCCCUGAUUUCCUGCAUCCAAUCUGAACUGCAAUUCCUGCAAAAUUUAAUCUUUCUUACUCUCGCCUUCAAUCCUGAUGCAUAAACUAAGAGCUCUUAAACCACAGUCCCAGGAGCCUUCUUUCCAAAUGUUAAACCCUUAUCUGCAAGGGUCUGUCUAAAUCAGGGUUCCUCUGCCCAGCUGCUCAGCUGAGAUGUUCACCUGCGGGAGAGGAAAGUGGCCUGAAAUGUUGCCCUUGUUUCUCCGGGUGUUCCGGACUCUAGUACCCACA
rnacentral:lncRNA from 1 species